GGCUGUUUGGUACAGUGGAAAGUAUAUUGGACUUGGAAUCCAAGGGCAUAGGCUUAAAUCCUAUCUCUGUCU
rnacentral:tRNA from 1 species